CCCUUAGAUGUUCUGGGCCGCACGCGCGCUACACUGAUGCAUUCAACGAGUUUCUUCCUGGUCCGAGAGGAAUGGGUAACCUUUUGAAAGUCCAUCGUGAUAGGGAUAGACUAUUGCAAUUAUUGGCCUUCAACGAGGAAUUCCUAGUAGACGUAGUUCAUCAGACUGCAUCGAUUACGUCCCUGCCCUUUGUACACACCGCCCGUCGCUCCUACCGAUUGAAUGACUCGGUGAAAAAUUGGGACCGUGAGUCUGUCUGCUUCAUUGCGAGUGGAUUGAUGGGAACUUUUUUAAACCUCGCCAUUUAGAGGAAGGUGAAGUCGUAACA
rnacentral:rRNA from 1 species